rnacentral:rRNA from 1 species
UACGAAGGGUGCAAACGUUGCUCGGAAUCAUUGGGCGUAAAGCGCACGUAGGCGGCCUCAUAAGUCGGAUGUGAAAUCCCUCGGCUCAACCGAGGACGUGCAUCCGAAACUGUGAAGCUCGAGUAUGGAAGAGGGUCGCGGAAUUCCCGGUGUAGAGGUGAAAUUCGUAGAUAUCGGGAGGAACACCAGUGGCGAAGGCGGCGACCUGGGCCAAUACUGACGCUGAGGAGCGAAAGCGUGGGGAGCGAACAGG